AUACAUUAUCAGCACCAGUUGGCUUGAUGUAAAUUCAAAAGUUGCCACUCCGGCCUAGAUUACCUUGUUAAUGCAUAGAACUCUGCACUCUAAUGGUUUGCCCCCAGAAUUGCUCUCAGCCCAUGUAAUCACCCAAGCCAAACUGGGUCAACAUCCGACUAGUUUUGAAAAUGUCCAUUUGAUUUCAUUUUUAAACUCAUGCUGAACGUUUUGUUAAC